ensembl:snoRNA
UUCCACGUUACCAUGGGAACUGUGUUCAUAAUGGCAGAUUCCCUUCCUAGGCGUGGGACAGCAAGUCCUUGUUCCUGACAAGUUUUUAUCAUGUUGUGUUAUCAUGUGAAGUGGCAGAAGAACAAGG